CGGGCCUACGGGGGGCAGCAGUGGUGGAUAUUGCACAAUGGGGGGAACCCUGAUGCAGCGACGCCGCGUGGGUGAAGGAGCGUUUCGGCGCGUAAAGCCCUAUCGGCAGGGAAGAAGAUGACGGUACCUGACCAAGAAGCCCCGGCUAACUACGUGCCAGCAGCCGCGGGAAUAAGUAGGGGGCAAGCGUUAUCCGGAUUUACUGGGUGUAAAGGGAGCGUAGACGGGUGUACAAGGCUGAUGUGAAAGCCCACGGCUCAACUGGGGGAGGGCAUUGG
rnacentral:rRNA from 1 species